UGUUGAAAAAGCAUGGGAUG
rnacentral:miRNA from 1 species